rnacentral:rRNA from 1 species
UACGUAGGUGGCAAGCGUUGUCCGGAUUUAUUGGGUUUAAAGGGUGCGUAGGCGGUCUUAUAAGUCAGUGCUGAAAUAUCCCGGCUUAACCGGGAGGGUGGCAUUGAUACUGCAAGACUUGAGUAGAGUUGAGGUUGGCGGAAUUGACGGUGUAGCGGUGAAAUGCUUAGAUAUCGUCAAGAACACCGAUAGUGAAGACAGCUAACUAAGCUCUAACUGACGCUGAGGCACGAAAGUGUGGGGAUCGAACAGG